UUAUUGGGCGUAAAGAGCUCGUAGGCGGUUUGUCGCGUCUGUCGUGAAAGUCCGGGGCUUAMCCYCGGAUCUGCGGUGGGUACGGGCAGACUAGAGUGCAGUAGGGGAGACUGGAAUUCCUGGUGUAGCGGUGGAAUGCGCAGAUAUCAGGAGGAACACCGAUGGCGAAGGCAGGUCUCUGGGCUGUAACUGACGCUGAGGAGCGAAAGCAUGGGGAGCGAACAGGAUUAGAUACCCUGGUAGUCCAUGCCGUAAACGUUGGGCACUAGGUGUGGGGACCAUUCCACGGUUUCCGCGCCGCAGCUAACGCAUUAAGUGCCCCGCCUGGGGAGUACGGCCGCAAGGCUAAAACUCAAAGGAAUUGACGGGGGCCCGCACAAGCGGCGGAGCAUGCGGAUUAAUUCGAUGCAACGCGAAGAACCUUACCAAGGCUUGACAUGUUCUCGAUCGCCGUAGAGAUACGGUUUCCCCUUUGGGGCGGGUUCACAGGUGGUGCAUGGUUGUCGUCAGCUCGUGUCGUGAGAUGUUGGGUUAAGUCCCGCAACGAGCGCAACCCUCGUUCCAUGUUGCCAGCACGUAAUGGUGGGGACUCAUGGGAGACUGCCGGGGUCAACUCGGAGGAAGGUGAGGACGACGUCAAAUCAUCAUGCCCCUUAUGUCUUGGGCUUCACGCAUGCUACAAUGGCCGGUACAAUGGGUUGCGAUACUGUGAGGUGGAGCUAAUCCCAAAAAGCCGGUCUCAGUUCGGAUUGGGGUCUGCAACUCGACCCCAUGAAGUCGGAGUCGCUAGUAAUCGMAGAUCAKCAACGCUGCGGUGAAUACGUUCCCGGGCCUUGUACA
rnacentral:rRNA from 1 species